AUGAAAGGAAAGAAAGGGGAUCGAUGUGAAACGACUGUAACUGGCAUUUCAGCCAACGCUUCCCAUUUUUGUGUCAAUAUGCAUCAGACGGUCAGUGACUGGACUGUGGGCGUUCCGUCUGAGACCAAGGAGUCAGUUUGCCAAGGUACAGCUCGGAGUAAAUCACCGAAUGUAAUUCUGAGAUCAUUUGUUGGCACAGCUGCGGCAGGGAUGAAAUACUUCUAUCGAGCAAACUAUCAUUGGCAAUGCUGGGGGAAUAUGAAAUUUGGCAGAGUUUCACACAGUCCGUAUUACGUAUUAAGAAAGUCGACCUGAACUCUUUUCUGUGUCAGUUCUGUGGUACGUUUCUAUAAAGCAGCCUAAAGCCACUGUCAUCAGAAGUUCUAUCACCACAGAUCUCAUUUCUCACGCAACCAAGCGUGGGGUGCACCGUAGGCACACUGCGUAAGUCAAAAGUAUGAAAGUCAGAGAAGAUGAUUGACAGGCCUAGAUGGAUUAGAAAGAUUAAACGGGUCAGUUUUGAUCACUCUAAGCACAACAUCCACUCUCCACUCAUGCUUUCCAGUGAAAUCACUAUAUACCCACAAGGGAAAACUGGCAGCGGAAAGCUAAUUCCUCUGGAGGAUGCGCCUGCUGAUAUUUAUGAGGGAUAGGUGAUGAUGUAUUUCCAUCUCCCUCACAGGCAUUCCAGGGUUAACGGCAAAAGCGUCAAAGAGACAGCACUUUGCAUCUCAGAUAUCAUCGGUUAAUGUGUAGAGUGCAGUUAUAAUGUGAAUGAAUGCAUUUGCAAGUCUGGAAGGGCGGAUUUAUUCUACAUUUGUUUUUUGUUUAUUUUCUAGUAGACAAUGUGAAUGCAUUUGGCUAGCUGUCCUGGAGCAUAAAACAACAAUUGUGCUGGCAUAGAAAAAUCGUUACACUGACCAGUGGAAUAAAGUGGUUAUUUGGCUUCUCGCUCUGUAAUGAGUGGAGGGCGUAGCACUUUCGGCUUUCAGAGGGUUUAUGGAUAAAUGCUUUUUCUGUUGCAUGGGGAUUGUUACAUCAGGGUCAAUGAACAUUAAUGACCGAAGGAGCUGUGAAGCAUGCAUCAUGGAACAGCACUUUAGCUGCUAACACAGAUUUCGAUACGUGACAGUUAUUGGUGACUGUAGAUCGGAAAAAUGGAAUGUAUUGUAGAUCAACUGGAAUCCAUUAAUGUGGACAUGUAUGCUAUGGUAUGUGAUAGGUAACAAAUUGGGCUUUGGGUUUCUCUUUUUUUGUAAAUUUUGUAUAAAUAAUAAAAUAUUGAGUUUAUGGUGAGGUCCUUACAUUGAAGUGAACAGAGCCAGUUUAUGG
rnacentral:lncRNA from 12 species